rnacentral:rRNA from 1 species
GUGCCAGUCGCCGCGGUAAUACGUAGGGUGCGAGCGUUAAUCGGAAUUACUGGGCGUAAAGCGUGCGCAGGCGGUUGUGUAAGAUCGAUGUGAAAUCCCCGGGCUUAACCUGGGAACUGCGUUGAUGACUGCACAACUCGAGUACGGCAGAGGGGGGGGGAAUUCCUGGUGUAGCAGUGAAAUGCGUAGAGAUCAGGAGGAACACCGAUGGCGAAGGCAGCCCCCUGGGCCG